AUAUUUGGGUUCUUGGUCUGGACCAUGGUAGCCGCCACCCACAUAGUAUACCCCUUGCUGCAAGGAUGGGUGAUGUAUGUCUCGCUCACCUCAUUUCUCAUCUCCUUGAUGUUCCUGUUGUCUUACUUGUUUGGAUUUUACAAAAGAUUUGAAUCCUGGAGAGUUCUGGACAGCCUGUACCACGGGACCACUGGCAUCCUGUACAUGAGCGCUGCCGUCCUACAAGUACAUGCCACGAUUGUUUCUGAGAAACUGCUG
rnacentral:sRNA from 1 species